rnacentral:rRNA from 1 species
UGGGGAAUAUUGGACAAUGGGCGAAAGCCUGAUCCAGCCGUGCCGCGUGUGUGAAGAAGGCCUUUUGGUUGUAAAGCACUUUAAGUUGGGAGGAAGGGCAGUAAGCGAAUACCUUGCUGUUUUGACGUUACCGACAGAAUAAGCACCGGCUAACUCUGUGCCAGCAGCCGCGGUAAUACAGAGGGUGCAAGCGUUAAUCGGAAUUACUGGGCGUAAAGCGCGCGUAGGUGGUUCGUUAAGUUGAAUGUGAAAGCCCCGGGCUCAACCUGGGAACUGCAUCCAAAACUGGCGAGCUAGAGUAGGGCAGAGGGUGGUGGAAUUUCCUGUGUAGCGGUGAAAUGCGUAGAUAUAGGAAGGAACACCAGUGGCGAAGGCGACCACCUGGGCUCAUACUGACACUGAGGUGCGAAAGCGUGGGGAGCAAACAGG